GUUCAUCUGCACAUCUUCUAAGAUCCUAAAAUAAAGCCUGUUUGAACUGCCUCAAACUGCUUCUUAUCGGUACACAGAAGUGUGUCAUGCUAGGACAAGUCUGCGAGUGUUGUCGAAUUUCAAUGACAAUUUGGCAUCUCCUGGCUGGGCACCCACUGACUGCUCCACCCCCUUAGGAUGUGAGGGAAGGACGCAAGGAUGAGAUGCGAGGAGAGAGGAAUAGAAGCAAGACCAAAGGAAUAUCCUCGCUUUCUCAAGCGUCACUUCAAAGCGACGUCAAUUAAUGAUGACUGUGCUCAGCUGGAUGACCUGACUGCGCUUCAGGGAUCUGCGUUAUGGUUUUUUUUUUUUGUUGUUUGAUUGUUUGUUUGUUUGAUGUGCCGUUAUGUUGUUGGAGCUUGGUUAACAACAACAUUCUUAAUAAAGCAAAAUGCACUGAUAGUAGCCUAUGUGAAAUGUCUGGGCUAUUCAACAAUUAAUUAAUAAACAAUACAUAAAUGGUUGCAUCGUUUGUGCAACUUUGCAUAUCCAAACAUGCAAGGAUCAAUUAAUUACAAUAGUCUACUCCUUGUCAACAUAUUAUUAUUUAAUAAGAUUUCACACAACAUUCCAUCACAUCAUCAAAGGACUUUUUGUUUGAGAUUGUUGCAGAUGUAAAGGAGGAGGGGAAUUUAUACCUGCGUCAGGCUUUUCGACAAUCAACACUUAUAGGAUACACCUGUGUAUCCUCGCUCCUAGCUCCUCUGGAAGCUUCCUCACUCCACGUUCCUCGCCUCCUCAUGGUGCAAUUAGAGAAUUGAUAUGUCCUUCAAGAUGGUUGACGUCGAUCGAUUUCCGGGUCACGGGCUGGAGGACGGAGGAGCGAGGAAACGAGGAAGCAUCAAGUUGUGUAUUGAGAAGCACCCGAUAUUUCGAGAAAUAAAAAAGGAAAAAAACUUUUAAAACAUUAUUUAUAUAUUUAUUUAAAUAAAAGAGUUCACGCUCAGUCA